UUAAGCGACUAAGCGUACACGGUGGAUGCCCUGGCAGUCAGAGGCGAUGAAGGACGUGCUAAUCUGCGAAAAGCGUCGGUAAGGUGAUAUGAACCGUUAUAACCGGCGAUGUCCGAAUGGGGAAACCCAGUGUGAUUCGUCACACUAUCGUUAACUGAAUACAUAGGUUAACGAGGCGAACCGGGGGAACUGAAACAUCUAAGUACCCCGAGGAAAAGAAAUCAACCGAGAUUCCCCCAGUAGCGGCGAGCGAACGGGGAGCAGCCCAGAGUCUGAAUCAGCUUGUGUGUUAGUGGAACGGUCUGGAAAGUCCGACGGUACAGGGUGAUAGUCCCGUACACCAAAAUGCACAGGUUGUGAACUCGAAGAGUAGGGCGGGACACGUGGUAUCCUGUCUGAAUAUGGGGGGACCAUCCUCCAAGGCUAAAUACUCCUGACUGACCGAUAGUGAACCAGUACCGUGAGGGAAAGGCGAAAAGAACCCCGGCGAGGGGAGUGAAAAAGAACCUGAAACCGUGUACGUACAAGCAGUGGGAGCACCUUUAUGGUGUGACUGCGUACCUUUUGUAUAAUGGGUCAGCGACUUAUAUUCUGUAGCAAGGUUAACCGUAUAGGGGAGCCGCAGGGAAACCGAGUCUUAACUGGGCGUUAAGUUGCAGGGUAUAGACCCGAAACCCGGUGAUCUAGCCAUGGGCAGGUUGAAGGUUGGGUAACACUAACUGGAGGACCGAACCGACUAAUGUUGAAAAAUUAGCGGAUGACUUGUGGCUGGGGGUGAAAGGCCAAUCAAACCGGGAGAUAGCUGGUUCUCCCCGAAAGCUAUUUAGGUAGCGCCUCGUGAACUCAUCUUCGGGGGUAGAGCACUGUUUCGGCUAGGGGGUCAUCCCGACUUACCAACCCGAUGCAAACUACGAAUACCGAAGAAUGUUAUCACGGGAGACACACGGCGGGUGCUAACGUCCGUCGUGAAGAGGGAAACAACCCAGACCGCCAGCUAAGGUCCCAAAGUCAUGGUUAAGUGGGAAACGAUGUGGGAAGGCACAGACAGCCAGGAUGUUGGCUUAGAAGCAGCCAUCAUUUAAAGAAAGCGUAAUAGCUCACUGGUCGAGUCGGCCUGCGCGGAAGAUGUAACGGGGCUAAACCAUGCACCGAAGCUGCGGCAGCGACACUAUGUGUUGUUGGGUAGGGGAGCGUUCUGUAAGCCUGCGAAGGUGACCUGUGAGGGUUGCUGGAGGUAUCAGAAGUGCGAAUGCUGACAUAAGUAACGAUAAAGCGGGUGAAAAGCCCGCUCGCCGGAAGACCAAGGGUUCCUGUCCAACGUUAAUCGGGGCAGGGUGAGUCGACCCCUAAGGCGAGGCCGAAAGGCGUAGUCGAUGGGAAACAGGUUAAUAUUCCUGUACUUGGUGUUACUGCGAAGGGGGGACGGAGAAGGCUAUGUUAGCCGGGCGACGGUUGUCCCGGUUUAAGCAUGUAGGCUGGUUAUCCAGGCAAAUCCGGAUAAUCAAGGCUGAGGUGUGAUGACGAGGCACUACGGUGCUGAAGUAACAAAUGCCCUGCUUCCAGGAAAAGCCUCUAAGCAUCAGGUAACAUCAAAUCGUACCCCAAACCGACACAGGUGGUCAGGUAGAGAAUACCAAGGCGCUUGAGAGAACUCGGGUGAAGGAACUAGGCAAAAUGGUGCCGUAACUUCGGGAGAAGGCACGCUGAUAUGUAGGUGAAGCCCCUGCGGGUGGAGCUGAAAUCAGUCGAAGAUACCAGCUGGCUGCAACUGUUUAUUAAAAACACAGCACUGUGCAAACACGAAAGUGGACGUAUACGGUGUGACGCCUGCCCGGUGCCGGAAGGUUAAUUGAUGGGGUCAGCGCAAGCGAAGCUCUUGAUCGAAGCCCCGGUAAACGGCGGCCGUAACUAUAACGGUCCUAAGGUAGCGAAAUUCCUUGUCGGGUAAGUUCCGACCUGCACGAAUGGCGUAAUGAUGGCCAGGCUGUCUCCACCCGAGACUCAGUGAAAUUGAACUCGCUGUGAAGAUGCAGUGUACCCGCGGCAAGACGGAAAGACCCCGUGAACCUUUACUAUAGCUUGACACUGAACAUUGAGCCUUGAUGUGUAGGAUAGGUGGGAGGCUUUGAAGCGUGGACGCCAGUCUGCGUGGAGCCAACCUUGAAAUACCACCCUUUAAUGUUUGAUGUUCUAACGUUGGCCCCUUACCGGGGUUGCGGACAGUGUCUGGUGGGUAGUUUGACUGGGGCGGUCUCCUCCCAAAGCGUAACGGAGGAGCACGAAGGUUAGCUAAUCCUGGUCGGACAUCAGGAGGUUAGUGCAAUGGCAUAAGCUAGCUUGACUGCGAGCGUGACGGCGCGAGCAGGUGCGAAAGCAGGUCAUAGUGAUCCGGUGGUUCUGAAUGGAAGGGCCAUCGCUCAACGGAUAAAAGGUACUCCGGGGAUAACAGGCUGAUACCGCCCAAGAGUUCAUAUCGACGGCGGUGUUUGGCACCUCGAUGUCGGCUCA
rnacentral:rRNA from 1 species